GUAACUUCUUACAUGUGGUUAAACUAUAGCAUUAACAUUCAGUGUUUUGUUGUGAUCACUGCUGUAUGUCUAAAGCUAUUCAGGUAAAAAGCAGUGAAGCUGUCAGAUAUACACUGUGUAGGAAAAACAGAUAGUAAGUUAACUACAUUAGAUUUUUAUGAUUACAUUCAGUUUCAUGAUUUCUCCUGGACUGUGGAUUUCUUGGUGCCAGUGUCUUUAUUUCUACUUUAAUCUGAUGAUUUAAUUCUGAUGUAAUAAUGUCUGAUUGUUACCAACUAAUUGAUUAUUUUUCUAUUUCUCUCUGACUUGCUUUUGUUUGUUUUUUUAACCAUCCAUGAAUCUAUCGGAGGCAGAAGAACUGAAGCUUUAUUUGAUGAUGAUGACGUGAAACAACGGAGACCUCAUUGUUCAACGAUCACGAUGACUGGUCAACAGAAGGAAGACCUCAUCUUGCCGCUGAUUCGCAAGGCCUUCUGGGUACCCCUACGUUCGAAGUGAGGGUCGGAAGAUCUUCGUUUGGAGGGCUAUUAAGCCCUAUGCCUUAGCCCUACCCCUCCGUCCCAACAGGUAUUGGGACCGCCUACCCCUACACAUGAACGGAUGCGCAUCUGGAGAGUCCUCGAGGAUCUAGAGAAGAGGAGCCACUACAAUCAAACAACCUCACUGGAGGACCUUAUUCUACGUUCCGUACAAAAGAAUGGGGUUUUCCUAUUCAUGGGUAUGUUGUCCAGGUUGUACCCUUCAAUGCAUUUCAAUUAAAAUGCAGACCGCAAGUGAGCUACAACAUUCAUAGGACAACCAGUUCUACAAGUAGAAGAUGGAUGAAGGCACCACAAAGUCUUUUAAAACAGACCCCACAUACAAUUACAUGGGUGACUUGAUGAUGCUGGUGUUUGACGAGGUGUUUCGAGGACCCAGCACCAUUUGAAGAGGAGUUGAUGAAAUCCCCAUCGAAGAGGAUCUGGUAUCCCAAUAUGACAGAUCAUCAAAUGAGGAAGCAUCUGCUUGCCACAAGUUGCGCUUCAGUCAUGGGGUGGCCAUAAGCCAAAAUACUGGCCAGCUGGAUCAGGAAACUCCUAGCUGAUCUUUUGUGGCAUCCUAAAUACCCCCAGCAAAGCUUUGGUCAGAGAAUGAGACAUUUUUGUAGGUAUAUCUUUAUGUAAUAUGUUUGUAUUUUCUUACAUUUGCAAAAAAAUAAA